GGCGAACGGGUGAGUAACACGUGAGUAACCUGCCCUUGACUUUGGGAUAACUUCAGGAAACUGGGGCUAAUACCGGAUAGGAGCUCCUGCUGCAUGGUGGGGGUUGGGAGAGUUUCGGCGGUUGGGGAUGGACUCGCGGCUUAUCAGCUUGUUGGUGGGGUAGUGGCUUACCAAGGCUUUGACGGGUAGCCGGCCUGAGAGGGUGACCGGCCACAUUGGGACUGAGAUACGGCCCAG
rnacentral:rRNA from 1 species